CCUACGGGAGACUGCAGUCGAGAAUCAUUCACAAUGGGGGAAACCCUGAUGGUGCGACGCCGCGUGGGGGAAUGAAGGUCUUCGGAUUGUAAACCCCUGUCAUGUGGGAGCAAAUUCAAAAGAUAGUACCACAAGAGGAAGAGACGGCUAACUCUGUGCCAGCAGCCGCGGUACUACAGAGGUCUCAAGCGUUGUUCGGAAUCACUGGGCGUAAAGCGUGCGUAGGCUGUUUCGUAAGUCGUGUGUGAAAGGCGCGGGCUCAACCCGCGGACGGCACAUGAUACUGGGAGACUAGAGUAAUGGAGGGGGAACCGGAAUUCGCGGUGUAGCAGUGAAAUGCGUAGAUAUCGAGAGGAACACUCGGGGCGAAGGCGGGUUCCUGGACAUUAACUGACGCUGAGGCACGAAGGCCAGGGGAGCGAAAGGGAUUAGAUACCCCAGUAGUC
rnacentral:rRNA from 1 species